UCCCGGUCCCCGCGCCGAGCCUGCGCGCCCCGCCCCGCGUGCCCCUGCGGCCGCCCCGGGCCCCUCCGCCCGCGCCGCUGCCGCCGGCCUCCCCCUCCCCGCACGCUCACCUAGCCCGCGGUCCCGGGAAGUUCCCGGCCGCUCCCGGCGCCCCGGCUCCGCUGCCUGGCCGCGGCUGCGCAGGGGUGCCCGGCGGGGCGCUUCCCGGCUGCGCGCCGAGCCCGGCUCCCGGCAGAGAGUGGCCGCAGACUCGCGCGGCGCGGCGGCCUGAAAGGCAAGCCAGCCCCCGCCGCUGCCUCCAGCCAGCCCCGGUCCUCCGGGGGUCACCUGCACAGGCUCCGCCUGGCACGGCGCGUGGCACCCGCGGGCCGCAAGGAUGCUGGAGAGAGGACGAGCCGUGAGUGCGGGGAAGGGGUCCCGGAGCCUGGCCCCGCGGAAGUGAGUCUUUGUGCGCCCCGCUCUGACACACCCUCCCGCGGCGCUGAAGGCCGGGCUACCUGCGCGCCAGGCAGUGCCCGGGAGCCGGCCGGGUGGGGCGCCGGGGAGUGCAGCAUCCUCUCGGGCCGCUCGCUCCCUUUGUUCCGCCCGCUCGGCCAGGCUCCGCGCCACCGCCCGGCCCUUGCUCCCGGGAGCCGGAGGUGGACUGGGAGCGAGCCACCUGCCACUGGGAAUUCCGUCGGUCGGGUUCUCCCCACCGAACGCGACUGGCUCCCAGAGGACCAGCAAAGUUCACGGAACGACGGCACCCGGACUGCUGGCCUGGCGCGAGGAGAACCGGGCGCGGGAGCCGCGGGUGUGGCUGCGGAUAGGGUGUCCGUCUGCUCGCGUGCGGGAUGUCCAUUUGUUGCCUCCAACCUCUGGUUCUUGAGAAGCGGCCGCAGCUGGUCCCGGACCGAGACCGCGCCGCCCUUUGUUUGCUGA
rnacentral:lncRNA from 1 species